UCCGGUGGCGCGCGCCUGUAAUCCCAGCUACUCGGGAGGCUGAGGCUGGAGGAUCGCUUGAGCUCAGGAGUUCUGGGCUGCAGUGCGCUAUGCCGAUCGGGUGUCGGCACUAAGUUCGGCAUCAAUAUGGUGACCUCCCGGGAGCGGGGGACCACCAGGUUGCCUAAGGAGGGGUGAACCGGCCCAGGUCGGAAACGGAGCAGGUCAAAACUCCCGUGCUGACCAGCUAAGCUAUUUAAAAUACUAAAGGAUGAUGGUGUUAAACUGUUGCAUUCACUAUUCCAAAUUUGCAUUCAGCAAAUU
rnacentral:SRP_RNA from 1 species